UCCUGGCCCUAAACAAUGUCCACUAGGUUGGUGGUUCUCUGACGGAUCACCGGCCGAAACAAAAGCGUUAAGUGGACCGCCUGGGGAGUACGGUCGCAAGGCUAAAACUCAAAGGAAUUGACGGGGGCUCACACAAGCGGUGGAGCAUGUUGCUCAAUUCGAUGCAACGCGAAGAACCUUAUCCUGGGCUUGACAUGUACGAAUGCCUAUCCUGAAAGGGAGUCGGCUGCCCUUCGGGGUGAAGCGUACACAGGUGCUGCAUGGCUGUCGUCAGCUCGUGUCGUGAGAUGUCGGGUU
rnacentral:rRNA from 1 species